CCCGUAUAUAAUAGUAUAUUUUGUUAAGAGUUACUCAUCGCGGUGUGGCUCAGCCGUUAUCAUUACUCUCGAGUUUAACGCUUCUUAUUGCAAAUGAGAGCCGAAAAACCCAAUUUGAAGGUACUUUAUGCUGAAGUUGAUUGUUCUUAAGCCCUACCUUACAUAUUCUUAAUUUUUCGCGCAAAGUUAUGUCAUUCCCAGGCAAAAGGGGAUCGCGGGUGACCGCAGGCUUCAUCUAGUCCCGGCGGUCACCAUAGUGACAAUGACGUCAGCAAAGGUCGGCAUUAAACAGACGAAUCACCACGCAGAAAUUGGCGCAUGACAUCCCUGUCUUCAUGUAGCUGGAUACAAAAACAAUUUCUGCCUGUAGCAAGACAAGUACUUCGACGUAAGACUGCUCGCUACUUGAAUAAUGAAGCGGGCGGAGUAGGUGUCAUAUAUGGUGUCGAAAUGGUAAAAAAAUAAACAGAACUGAGCAGAAAACAACCGACAGCAGUAUUUCAAGUACCACUGGAGGAAAAUUCAGAAGUUGAAGAAGAUAGGGUACGUUCCUGGUCCAAAUCUUGCCUAAUAGAUGAAUUAGAAGUGUUACGGUAGAAUCUGAGAGAAGUAAAAAGAUAAUAGGAAGAAAUCGGACGAGCUAAAUAGAAAAUUAUAAUAAGGGUGUUUUUUUUCAAGAAAUACAAACAACAUUUAAAGGGGCCAUUAAUGUAAAUCGUGCUCAGCUGAAGCCAAUAAAGCUGCUAGGAGA